AAAAGAGAGAGGCGGGGGAGAUGCCGUGAUCACGAAGGUGUUUUUCCAGGGCGAGGCUGAUUGCACUCCGGAUGUGCUGACCCCUGCCAUUUCCCCAAAUGUGGGAAACCCUGCCGCAUAGUCUGUGGUAGUGGGGGACUGUGUUCACGCUCUCCCCUG
ensembl:snRNA U1 U1 spliceosomal RNA